rnacentral:rRNA from 1 species
AGGGUUCGAUUAUGGCUCAGGACGAACGCUGGCGGCGCGCCUAACACAUGCAAGUCGAACGAGAGAGAGGGAGCUUGCUUCCUCAAUCGAGUGGCGAACGGGUGAGUAACGCGUGAGGAACCUGCCUCAAAGAGGGGGACAACAGUUGGAAACGACUGCUAAUACCGCAUAAGCCCACAGGUCGGCAUCGACCAGAGGGAAAAGGAGCAAUCCGCUUUGAGAUGGCCUCGCGUCCGAUUAGCUAGUUGGUGAGGUAAUGGCCCACCAAGGCAACGAUCGGUAGCCGGACUGAGAGGUUGAUCGGCCACAUUGGGACUGAGACACGGCCCAG